rnacentral:lncRNA from 1 species
UUUGUCCUGAUUUAGAUUCUAAAACAAGCCCGUUUGUUCAGGAGUCUACAAGAUUCAUUGUCUGUUCCUUGAUGUGACUGGGUCAUCGGAAGACUCUGAGUCAUCGUGGGUCCUCUGCUCCCUCUCUCACCUGGAUCAGGUGCUAAGACCCCAUUAGCCAACUCUAAACUGUAAGAUCUACCAGCAACGACAACAACAAAAACAACAACAACAACAACAACAACAAACCCAAAAGCCUGGAAGUGAAGCAUCACAAAAAAACAUUCUAAAGCUUUGUCUUUGUUUAAGGGAGACAUGGAAGAAGAUAAUGGCAGGCAAACUGGGUGGCCAAUCCAUCCUGGGAAUGAGUGACAUGAAGCUUCCUUAAUAAUGGAUGACAUCCCAUGGCUGUAUAGUGAACUGAAGAUGAGCCAAGAAAUAACCCAUUAGAACUGCCCAUGAGACCAGAGCUCUUCUUCCCCUGUCGCAGAAAAUGGCAGCAAUCCCCUCCGUCAUCCCUUCCAUGGAAAAGACCACCGCUAUGGCAUCCCACAACCACCCUUUGUUUCCUAAGGAACACCAAUCAGUGUUUUG